rnacentral:rRNA from 1 species
GAUGAACGCUGGCGGCGUGCUUAACACAUGCAAGUCGAACGAUGAAGCCCAGCUUGCUGGGUGGAUUAGUGGCGAACGGGUGAGUAACACGUGAGUAACCUGCCCUUAACUCUGGGAUAAGCCUGGGAAACUGGGUCUAAUACCGGAUAGGAGCGUCCACCGCAUGGUGGGUGUUGGAAAGAUUUAUCGGUUUUGGAUGGACUCGCGGCCUAUCAGCUUGUUGGUGAGGUAAUGGCUCACCAAGGCGACGACGGGUAGCCGGCCUGAGAGGGUGACCGGCCACACUGGGACUGAGAAACGGCCCAGACUCCUACGGGAGGCAGCAGUGGGGAAUAUUGCACAAUGGGCGCAAGCCUGAUGCAGCGACGCCGCGUGAGGGAUGACGGCCUUCGGGUUGUAAACCUCUUUCAGUAGGGAAGAAGCGAAAGUGACGGUACCUGCAGAAGAAGCACCGGCUAACUACGU